rnacentral:rRNA from 1 species
CCUACGGGCGGCUGCAGUCGAGGAUCUUCUGCAAUGGGCGCAAGCCUGACAGAGCGACGCCGCGUGGGGGAGGAAGGCCUUCGGGUUGUAAACCCCUGUUGCCCGUUAAGAAUCACUCGGUGCGAAUAGCGCUUGGGUGUGACAAAGGCGGGUGAGGAAGCCACAGCUAACUACGUGCCAGCAGCUGCGGUAAGACGUAGGUGGCCAGCGUUGUUCGGAAUCACUGGGCAUAAAGCGCGCGUAGGCGGCCCGGCAAGUCGGGGGUGAAAGCCCUGGGCUCAACCGAGGAAUGGCGCUCGAAACUGCCGAGCUUGAGGGCCGUAGGGGAGAGUGGAAUUCCCGGUGGAGCGGUAAAAUGCGUAGAGAUCGGGAAGAACGCCGGCGGCGAAAGCGACUCUCUGGCCGGUUCCUGACGCUGAGGCGCGAAAGCUAGGGGAGCAAACGGGAUUAGAUCCCCCUGUAGU